rnacentral:rRNA from 1 species
UACGGGGGGGGGCAAGCGUUGUUCGGAAUUACUGGGCGUAAAGGGUUCGUAGGUGGCCAACUCAGUCAGACGUGAAAUCCCUCAGCUCAACUGGGGAACUGCGUCUGAUACUAGAUGGCUCGAGUGCAGGAGAGGAACGCGGAAUUCCAGGUGUAGCGGUGAAAUGCGUAGAUAUCUGGAGGACAGCACGGUGGCGAAGGCGGCGUUCUGGACUGCAACUGACACUGAGGAACGAAAGCCAGGGGAGCAAACGGG